UACGUAGGUGGCAAGCGUUGUCUGGAAUUAUUGGGCGUAAAGCGCGCGCAGGCGGCCUCAUAAGUCUGAUGUGAAAGCCCCCGGCUCAACCGGGGAGGGCCAUUGGAAACUGGGAGGCUUGAGUGUAGGAGAGAAGAGUAGAAUUCCAGGUGUAGCGGUGAAAUGCGUAGAGAUCGGGAGGAACACCAGUGGCGAAGGCGACUCUCUGGCCUAUAACUGACGCUGAGGCGCGAAAGCGUGGGGAGCAAACAGG
rnacentral:misc_RNA from 1 species